ensembl:lincRNA
GCCCCAUUGCAUAGAUACUUGAAGUCAGCCUUCAGUUAUGUUUCAGCAAGUACAUAGCAUCUGAAUGAAACUCAGGAACUCAAUAUGAUUAAGUCAGAAACUCUUACUAAUUUUAAAGUCCACAACUGGACUUUUUGGAUUUUAUUAAAACUGAUCUGCUUCCCUAUUUCACCCCUGCAAUAGUACAGAGGGGCCAGAUCUAAUAUAAAAAGGCAUGAAACUCCAUUAUAUUUGGAUGUUGUAUUAAAUCCUAAUGCCCCUUCUUGUCAUUUUCCUUCAAAUAGGUCGAUUUCUCAGCUUGUCUGAAGCAUUGUAUACUUGAAUGCAAAAAAAGAUAUCAAGAAAACUGAAUGAUACUCUUCACCUGGACCAAACAGUAAUGUAUCACUGUUGAAAUGUUGGUUUUCUCAACCAAAUUAAAGUCUUCCCCAGAUGUAUCAAUCCAGCCUCCAGGAGUCCUCUCCCUUAGGAGUUUCUGGCAUUCAUUUGCAGAGAAACUCCGGAAGGUACCAGAAGGAACCAGUAAUGGAGACAGGAAUCAAGAGAGGACAACUCGCCCCGUUAAGAGCUGGGGCCUUGGGCGCUGGCCUGCCAGCUUCUCCCCUCCCGGGCUGGGGACCCCGGCCAGCGGCUCUCCCUCGCCGAGCCUCAGUUUCCUCAUCUGCUAAACAAUGACAACUACGCAGGGGAUUUCUGUACGGACCGAACGAGUGAGGAUAGAACGGGGCCCAGCACGAGGUAAACUUUUCCCCCCACUCCUUUCUGCAUCUUGAAUCACUUGAAUUCACCACCUCCCGUGAAAAUAAAGGGAAUAAAUUAAAGACCCGAGACGAUACCAUGAAGCUGCGUGCCGGGACCCAGCGCCAUCGAGCCCGCGGUGGCGGCCCUGGCGUUUGGCUGAGACGGGGCUCUGCCCGCUCUCCUCCCUCUCCCCCGCCGCUGCACGCGCUCACGUCCGAGCCCCAGUCCCGCCGGCUCGGGCCCCCCACCCCGUGCCCCCCUCCAGCCGCCCCCCGGCCCGGGCACUCACGGUACACGGUGAGGUUGGUGGCGCGGAUGAUCUGGGAGCCGCCGCAAGUGACGGCGCACAGGACCUGGCUGUCAUCGGCCACGUUGUGCAGCUGGAAGGCCACCCAGCCGUUGCUGCGGCCCCGCAGCUCCUUGGAGAGGGACGUCUCCAAGAAGAUCGGCCCGGGGCUGGGGCAGUCGGUGCUGCAGUUGACUAGCAGGGACCCGCCGGCUGGCAUCGUGUGGUCCUGGGGCUCCAGCCAUACCGAGAACUGCGCCCGGACGCCUGCGAGGCAGGGAAAGGCUCUGUCGGUGGCCCUUACGGCCUCAUCCCAGUGCCUGCUCGUUCUAGGAUACGGAGAUGAAAUGUUGGAGCAUUAAAAUCGUACCCCUCGUGCAUCUGGGCCUUGAGCCCUGACAGCCGCUCAUGACACAGAAAGGAGGACAGCCAGACCUCGUGUCCUCCUGCGGUGAAGUCUGGCCAAGGAACAGAAACUGAAUCUGACUACCUGUUGACAGGAAGCUCAGGGGACAGAGCGAAGUGUUAAAACUACGGCCGGAUGAUGGUAUCAUGCUGGGACAGUCAGCAACACCAGCGCCCAGGUUUCUUCCACAAACAUGUUGCAAGAGAGAAAACAAAAAGAGAGAGCAAGAAAGAGGAACCCGGAGAUGAAAAAAAGACUUAAAGGAACUCAGCUAAUGCACUUUGGACACCCGGUUUGGAUUUUUAUGUGAACAAACUACAAACCAACAAACAAAGGACAAUUAUUUAAGAGACCAUUGGGGGAAACCGAUGUGGUUCAGCCACCUGGGCCCCUGCCUACCACACGGGAGGUCCAGGGUUCGAUGCCCAGGGCCUCCUGGUGAGGGCGAGCUGGCCCAUGCAGAGUGCCGGCCCACACGGGAAUGCCGCCCUGUGCAGGAGUGCUGCUCUGCGUGGGAAUGCCACCCAGUGCGGAGAAGCUGCCCCGCGCAGGAGUGCCGGCCGACACGGAGAGCUGGCGCAGCAAGGUGAUGCAACAAGAGAAGCAGAGGAGAAAAAUGAAGACAACGCACCAAAACAGGGAGCUGAGGUGGCGCAAGAGAGCGAUCGCCUCUCUCCCACUCUGGAAGGUCCCAGAUCGGUUCCUGGAGCCGCCUAAUGAGAAGACAAGCAGACACAGAAGAACACACAGCGAAGGGACACAGAGAGCAGACGAUGGGGGGGGGAUGGAGUGGAAGGGGGGAAAGAGAUGAAAAUAAAUCUUAAAAAAAUAAAGAGACCAUUGGGGAACUUUACACAUGAACAGGCAAUGCCACAGUGAUGAAGGCUGAGGAAUUAUUGUUAAACUUUUUAGGUGCCACACCGAUCAUUGUGAGCAAAUUCUUGUAUCUCGGAGACACGGACCAAAGAUUUUACAGACGGAACGAUCGGACGUCCGAGAUUUGUGUCGUAUAAGUACCCAG